rnacentral:tmRNA from 1 species
GGGGGUGCACCGGUUUCGACUGGUACGGUUCGGGGUACAGGCUGCAGGUGGAGCGCCGAUCUCCUGAUUCGGCAACAAUUUAACUGCCAACAACGACAGUUACAGUUACGCCUUAGCUGCGUAACCGCGUGGAACCUUUCCGCCGCCUUGAGGAAGGGCUUCCGCGUCACAACCAAGGCUGGCCAAACCCCGGUUCCGGACGGGGCGCGGCGAGAAAAAUCCGGAAUACGGACAGGCCGCGCGCCGUUUAGCCACGCCUGCCCCGACAAUACAAUAAACGGCUAAACCUGUAGAGGCCGGUAUUUCGCGUAUUAGGACGCGGGAUCGACUCCCGCCACCUCCAGAA